GCCAGUGACGGCGGCUAUACAUGCAGUCGAGCGAGAAGGUGUAGCAGUACACUUGUAAAGCGGCGAACGGGUGAGGAAUGCAUGGGUAACCUACCCUCGAGUGGGGAAUAACUAGCCGAAAGGUUAGCUAAUACCGCAUACGUUUCCGGGACUUCGGUGCCGGAAAGAAAGCAAUACCGUGGGUAUUGCGCUCAUGGAUGGGCUCAUGUCCUAUCAGCUUGUUGGUGAGGUAACGGCUCACCAAGGCUUCGACGGGUAGCUGGUCUGAGAGGACGAUCAGCCACACUGGCACUGCGACACGGGCCAGACUCCUACGGGAGGCAGCAGUAAGGAAUAUUGCGCAAUGGACGAAAGUCUGACGCAGCGACGCCGCGUGGGGGAUGAAGGUCUUCGGAUUGUAAACCCCUUUCGGGAGGGAAGAUGGAGUGGGUAACCACUUGGACGGUACCUCCAGAAGCAGCCACGGCUAACUUCGUGCCAGCAGCCGCGGUAAUACGAAGGUGGCAAGCGUUGUUCGGAUUCACUGGGCGUACAGGGAGCGUAGGCGGUUGGGUAAGCCCUCCGUGAAAUCUCCGGGCCUAACCCGGAAAGUGCAGAGGGGACUGCUCAGCUAGAGGAUGGGAGAGGAGCGCGGAAUUCCCGGUGUAGCGGUGAAAUGCGUAGAGAUCGGGAGGAAGGCCGGUGGCGAAGGCGGCGCUCUGGAACAUUUCUGACGCUGAGGCUCGAAAGCGUGGGGAGCAAACAGGAUUAGAUACCCUGGUAGUCCACGCCUUAAACUAUGGAUACUAAGUGUCGGCGGUUUACCGCCGGUGCCGCAGCUAACGCAAUAAGUAUCCCGCCUGGGAAGUACGGCCGCAAGGUUGAAACUCAAAAGGAAUUGACGG
rnacentral:rRNA from 1 species